UCGUUUUGACCUUAAGAAAUUGAAAAAAUAUAGGGGCCCAACGAUGCCGUUUGCAAGCAUCGUUUGGCCCCUUUGCUGUUUCAAUUUAUGAUUGAAACAGCAGCUCAAUUUGUCCCGUUUAAGCAUUAUUUAAUGGAGAAUACUAAAUUCUCAUUAAUUCCACUAUACACAUCAUCCCCCACUUUCAAUUAAUUCUUUUCUCCACCAAACCCUUAACUAUUAAACCAUCAAAUUUCCAUCUACUCCCUAAAUUUUUCAAUUCAAUUCUAUACCCUAAUUUUCCUAAUUAUAAAGUUUCCCCCAAAAUUAACCAAUCUCCAAUUUUAGGUUUUAACUUGAUUUAUUCAUUGGAAAAUUAAAAAAGUGAUUAGACUACAACAAGUUAUGGAUAAAUUUGUUAUUAGAACGCCAAAAAAUGUCUAACUCUUGUGAUAGAGAAGAUAAUUUGGGUACUAUUUCGGGAGAAAAUAGAGCACGUGUUGAGUUUGAUUCUACAAGUUUAAUUGCGGAUCCUGCAAAUCGGAUUUCGAUUGAUGAUUACGAAAUCAAUAUUAGAGAUGAAGUGAGACGUGCAUAUGUUCUUAAAGGUCCCUGUCAACCAAAAAGUCAUAUGUUUCCUCAGAAAAAAUUUGGAAAACAAAAUAGAAAUUCUCAAAAAACUUGGUUUAGUGACUACGUGUGGUUGAAAGAGCAUUUUCAGCAAUGAAUAUCAUCAAGACCGAUUUGCGUAACAAAAUGGGGAUGAAUUUCUAAGCGACGGCUUAUCAUGUUUUAUUGAGAAGCAAAUUUUUGUGAAGAUUGACGACGAGCUCAUUUUACAACGCUUCCAAGCUAUGCAGACGCGAAGAAUACAAUUGUCUCUCCGCGAUCGAAACUAAUAUAAAAAUUCAUUAUGAUAGUAUUUUUUAUUAUUAAUAUAAAUUUUAUGUAAAAAUUAUAUAUUAUUUAUUGCUUGUUAUUUA